UUUUAAGCCUGGCUGGGAAGGGAAGUGGCGGGGUCGGGGAUUGGAGGGACCCCUGGAAGGAGCAGCUUAUGGCUUCACACUGGGAAACUCAGAUCCUGGCUGCUCCCAAGGUAAGUGGAAAUACAUGGCAGGCUGAGGGGACUGUCUGGCGGGCCCUGUUGAAACUGAGCUGAUCUUAGGCCUUGUUAAUAACUCUCAGGGGGAAAGGAGACAGCUCCGAGUGGAAACGAGGCAUCUGCCUAAAAGCCCCCCAGGACUGCUAAUCAAGUCCCAGUGGCGAAGUGCAGUGAGACGAGUGGAGAACAGAGAAAUCCACGGGAGCUGAAAAUAAGCCCAGACCACCACUCCCAGCUCUGAACUGACCCAACGGCUGAGAAAACCCGAGUUGAUCCAGGGGAGUGAGUAGGUGCUAGGAGUCUGUAUCGUCCUCUGCUGGAUGUUUCAAGGCUCCUAGUGCCUCGGCGCUCAGAGCUGUGCCUGGUUCUGACUUUGGGAUUCAGCUCUUCCGAUUCACUGGGGGUGGGAAGCAGGGAGACACACACAACAGCCGAGGCACUCGCUCCAGAGCGGCACACUUCGGUCUAAGUUCUCUACCCUUCCCCCAUUUUAUAGGUGAAGAAACUGGGCCAUAGAGAGGUUCCUGGUCCAGGCAACGCGGCUAGGAUGCUACCCCACGUCUCUAACUCCCAGGGAGCAGCUGGGCCGCUGCUAAGAUACUGUGUGGGCAGCAGGUACCACCAGCUCUUCCAGGGCCCAAGAGCAAGAAAGCCUGGCUCCCCACCGAAGGCCGGCCUGGCCACGGGGACAGGAGUAGCAGUGGGCCGCCGCUUGUAAAUCCAGACUGAUGGCGUGCAGGGAGAGGGCGGGCCCUGGGUUAUGAAAUGAGGCAGAAACACCCGUGCCUUUGCCCACAGCUCUCGGCUUAUCUGGAGGGUGGCACUCUGGUCCAGGGCUCCAAGGACACAGCCUGACGAGAGACGAGCAGUGGGAAGAGCUGAGCUUUGGAUUCCAGCUGCUGCUGCCAUUUGGAAGCGCUGUUCCCUGGGCAUGGCCUUAGAACCCCGGUCUGUGAUGCCCACGCAGGGAACAGGUGCGAGGAUUGAGUGAGGUGUGUGAACAGCACCUGGUCAGCACCCAUCGCUCACCACUCACUGUGCUGGGUUCAAGUUGCAGCUUGUGUCAAGUUUUUGCACCGUUAGCAGAGAGGACCAUAAACAGGAAUUAGGACUUGGCCCCUCAUCCCUUUGCAUAAAGGCAAGAUCCUGCCACGUAUACCGAGCCAGAGAGUCAUAAGUGCCAGGAAAGGGGUCGUGCAUUUGACCUCUUUCAUCGGUCAGAGCCUUCAUGUAACUAGAGCAGGUCCUGCAGAGAACAGUUCAGCCCAGUGCUGCUUAAGACAGAAGCUUUUAUUUUUAUUCAUCCAAAUGGGGAAAAUGCAACAUGUCAGGGCAUUACAGACAAACUGCAGCAGCCAGACAAGAGGCUCAGUCUAUGGCAGAGUCCAACAGUCAGUGCGAAGGCGCCCGGUGCGGGCGCUGCCUGUGGGGGUCGGGGUGGCACAGAGUCCCUGUGGAUGAAGGCCAGGCAUCAUCUCUGGGCGAGGCACUGGUGACAGUCCACACGUGCAGGCUGCUGCUUCAGCCACGCCGAAGGUUUCAAGUUCAGUCUCCAUGAAAUUGCCCGAGAGGAAGGACAAUACAUGGUGGUCGCAGUUUCCAAAGUUUUUUAACAUAAUACACAACAGUUAUUGCCAAGGACUUUGCACUGCAAAUUAUACUAUUUACACUUGCGUAUUCAGAAAAACACAGUAAAUAGAUACAGAUAGAUAUUUUAAAUAGAUUUCUAAAAACUACCUUGGCCAUCACCAAACCAGAGUGAGUAAGCUACAGCCAGGAGUCCAAUGCCGAAUGCAAAACCGUGCAGUAGGGAACUAGACUCAGUCUGCUCCAGGCCACCGUCUCCAACAGCCCAAGGCUUUGGUGCUAGACGGGCGGCCUCCCGCCCUCCCUCCCAGGCAGAGCUCUGCUUGCAGUGGGUGAGAAGCAAGUCUCACAGACCCCUCUCUGGGAAUCUUAGGCAGUGGGGAGAUGAUGCAUGUGGGGGCUGUGAGGCUCACAGGCUGGACCCAGCCCCUGACCUGGCCCAUCCUGCCAAGAGCACCCUUGGGACCAGUGCCCUCACCUCAAGAGACCUGUCUUCUGAAGAUGUAGCUGGGCCCCCAACCAGCCACUUAAGAGACCAAAGGUAUAGGCCCGCAGGUAGGUCCCUGGGGAAAGGCCUGAGUUCAAAGAUCCUUUGGGGGGAAACAAGACGAGCACUGCUAGAAGCCUAGAAGCUGACGUCUGCCCAAGGAAGGUGGCUCAGGGCUCAUUAGAAGACGAGAGGGCCAAGCAUUCACUUCCCCCUCAAGGCCCUGCAAAGGUGGUCUGUCUGGAGGGAGGGUGGAGACAGCGCACAAGGCAGCCAGGGGGCCAUGGCUCCUGGGAAGUGCAGAGGGAAGGCCCUGCCUAGGGCCUGAGGACGCCUGCAGUGUGGCUCCCAGUGGAGUUUCUAGAGCUAAGCCACCUCCCACGAAACCACGGCAGGUAACUGAGCGGGACCACACAGGGCUAGUGCAUGAGAGGCGGUCAGGAGAAGGGAUGUUUGUGAUGGUGGCACAUCAGGGAACCAGGUCACACCACUGUGUGGGCUGUCAUCUCCACCUCGGGUUGGGGCCACAGCACGGGGAGUCGGUGAGAUCUGCUCAAGGGAACCCGGAGAGGGGCGCGAACGCGCCAGGGAAACAAGCGUUCCUGGACCACGGGGUCUUGCCACUGACCCGCCAGACCGAACUCCCCAAGCCCUCGGGGUGUUUGGGAGGAGCAGAGCCCGCCCGGAAGACGGGGAAGAGGCGGACACUUAAGAGUCAACUUUCUGAAUCACAAGUGGAGAAGGGACUACUUAAAGGCAGUCUCCUCCUUACCUGAAACGCCUAGGUCUAUCCUUCAUUCACUUCCAUGAACGACGAGAAAAAGCAGCUGACUUCCCAGAACAGCAGCAAUAUUUAGGUUAGAGUGAAAAAAAAAAAAGAGCUUCCUGACCACCAUCUGUUUCCCCCAGCAGGAACAUGAGACAGAUGGCAUCGCGCUGAUGACCCCCAAGGGCAAAGGCCUUGGGCUUCAGAGGUGACGAUGGUACCUGACUGACAGGGAGCCCCUGUGAGAACAGGGGCACAGGACGAGGUGUCCCGGCCAGGCCCCUCCACCCGGGCCAGGCAUGCCUUUGUCUUUUCUUUCCCACGAGCCCAGAAACGCCUCGAGAAAAACACAAGGAGUGCUCCUUAGACCUCAGACGUUCCUCACCUACUGUCAGACCUUGAGAGCACCCCCCAAAAGAGACAAGACCAGGUGGCAAAAGCCACAAGCCGCAUCUCACAUGAGUGGGAGCCAGACAGGUGCUGUGCCUCGGAAGCACAGCUGCUCAGGUGACGUCCUUCCCUAACCCUCACCUAGUUCUCAGCAACGACAAGCCAGCUUCACUCAGCAGGCAGCGUCCAGUUCCCUAAGUUCCCAGUGGUCUCUGACCCAGGCACCCUCCCAAGUCCACCGGCCCGACGGCUCAGGGCAGCGCCCAGCACCUAGCCUCCUGACUUGGUCCCCAGAGGACCAGUGCGUGUAGGCCACGUGGACCUGGGUCCCAGUACCUGCUACCAAAGCUGCGAUGGGAGAGCCCAGCAGGGAGCUGGGCCAUGGGCAGGCGCCGUUCCCCCCUGAGCUGUAUAUGAGUCUCACCUGCUCCCAUGGCCAGAUGGGGCUUCAAUAAAGCUACCUGUGCAGGCACUCGCAGCACUCGUGUUAGGCCGCCUUUCUCCAGGCCCCACUGGUCCUUCACUGCACACGAAGCACACACCCCUCGCGACUUCCGUUCAGUCAAGGACAGUGUUGGCAGCUCACUGCUGCUCGGUCAGCAGUAGCUCCCAUCACCUAUACACAACCUCUCAGUGGAAGUACUCUGCCCAACGGCGGGCACGUGCAUUAACUGCAUCUUACCACAUGCUCUGCGGGAUGCCUAAGGGCACAGACCAUCACCGCUCCUUGUCCAAGGCCUGCCCUGCCACGUGACUCGAUCCUGAGCCAGCGUGGGCUUCCCCUGGCACUUUUCACCCUCACACACCAAGGCCCCAGGCCAAAAUUAGAUUUGAGGCAGAAUGUUUCAUCUGUCUUGACGUUUUAAAUGGCCUUUAGCACAGCAAAAGAAAAGACAGGAAGAUUUUGUCAAGCUCUGCAUGUUGGAAAGGUGUGGCACUCAGUAGCCCACUAAAGCCAAUGGCCAGAAAAACCACGCAACUCUGGGCCUCCUUCCCACGCUAACACCCACAGUAACCAAACCCUUGGCUAAGAAGUCCAGACUAAACAGAAAGGUGCCAUUUGUAGCCACAGGCCUGCUCACCCAUGACCAGAAUGACAGUUUAAAAAUGUAUCUGUGACCCCUUUACUGGCUCUGCCCACCGAGUGGAGGCCAUGCCCCUUGGCCCGGCACUCGGCCCCUCACACAGACUGUGCCCAGCGUGCCUGCUGGGCUGUAUACAGGCCUAUUCAGCGCACUGUCCCCACCUGGGCCCAUUCCUUCUCGAGCUGCCGCCUCCCUCCGGGGCUCUCCUGAUUGACCCUCAGCCCUCCCAGGGGCCGCUGUCACCUUGGACUUCCCUGAGCCCUGCUCGCCCAGUGCCACCUCUCACUCCAGACCUAAGGUCCUCAGGGGUGAGACUCACCUGAUGCUCAAUGCUCACACAGAUCAGAGGUUUGGGGAAGAUGGAUGCGUGGGCGCCAGCUGCAAGUUUCCAGUCAGAAUUAAGCCAACGGGUGAGUAAUCGCCAGUCUAAGGCAGGGGCUGGCAGAAUGUGGCCCAGGACCUGCUUCUGGAAGUAGAAUCUGUUGGACCACAGCCAGGCUCUUCCGUUCACGUGCCGUCUGGCUGCUCUCCACUCUAAUGGGAGAGCCGUGUGGCUGUGACAGCAAAUGGUCCACAGGCCUGAAAGAUUUACUGUCGGGCCCCUUACAGAAAGUUUGCCAAUACCACCUCUAAGGCAGCGUUCCCACAUAGUUCCACACAAAAGGUCACAUGGUCUGGCGCCCUGAGGGAAACGGACAAGGCCACUUACACUUAGAGACACCGGGCCCUGGGGUUCUGGCUGCCCCCCAAGGCUGCCGGGAUCAGUGUCUCUGCACCUGUGACCUUUCAUAGCUCCAGCCUGAAGCUCAAAACCACAGCUGCCUCGUUAGCCCAAGACAGUAUAGAAAGUCACCUGACUCGUCCUUGGGUGUCCCUGCCACCUCCCAGGAUGAGCCCGAAGUAGCAGGACGGACAGACACACAACUGAGGUCCAAAGCAAAUCCUCUAGUGAUCAUACAAUUUCACAGGUCUUUCCCUCCUUCAAGGACUCUGUAAAGCAAGUCUGCACCUUCCCACUAGCUAAAGAUUUUACAGGCUUCGCAUCAAAUGAGCUCAGCCCUUUGCAGAUGAAAAACCAAAACAUUACCGUCUAAAGAAGCAGAAUCUGUAUGAACGAACACCCAGUACCUGUCAGCCUUUGGCAACCCCAGCAGAGCGGAACCUCAGGGUCAGAUGCUGACCUACCAACCUGUAAACCUAUCUACCCGUGGCCAAAAGACACACUUCCCAAGAGCACAAAAAAGGGGCUCACAGAGCCCCCCAAGAGAGUUGGGCCCACCACACCCCCACCUCCUAGACCAGUGGACAUAGCCCUUGCUCCACUGCAACUCUUCCUGCCUGGUCAGCACCUCCUCCCUUCCCCGCCUUCCUCAUCUUGGUCCCAGGCACCAGCGUCCCCUGAACCGUGGCCCAGGGGAAGGGCUUGCGGAGGCCCCUACUUCCCAGGUGUGGUUCCUUUCCACUCCGUCCCGGAGAAAAGCCUGGCCUGUAAAGACGCCCCAUUCCUGCCGCCUUCAGUCAGCCUCCUUCAUCCCUCAUCUGCCUCCUGCCUCUAAUCGUUCCCCGUCCAAAUCAACCAUCCAGAAUGCUCCCCAUUUGGGGAGAUGGCAGUCACCGAACGGCACAGCACUCAGGGCCUUUCACAAAGUGGCCCCAAACUACACAUCCCAUCUGCCAUGUCACCCUCUAAACCAGACCAGUUUCCAUUAGCAAGGACCCUCGUGCUGUCCCAAGAAGGCCACCAGGGCCCCUUCUUGAAACCUCAGCAGCUUCCAGCCCUGAGUGUUGUCCCCCCACCCCCUGCUCUCCACCUUGGUCAGUGGUUUCACCUGCUACUCAGUUGUCUAAGCCGAAAAUCGUGACCUUUUCUCUAAUUGUUCCUUCUCCCCCAACACAUGGCCUGGUAGGCAGUAGUAGGUGACAGGGAAUGUUUCCCAAGAAAUCCAUGUGCCCAAGAAAGGAGAAGUGGCCUUGGCAAUGUCGCCAGUCACAUCAGCAUUCUGUCCAAACUGACAUCCCAUGGAACUGGCUCUGCACUAGCCAAACACUGCUAACAUGGGGUACCCGUCUCCCCACACCUGCCCCAGGCAGCCCAGUUUGCCAUCAUGGGAGGCACAUGUUAGCUCAAAUUGCCUGAGUGGCUUGCUGUCACUGUUUUUACUCUUCUGGAGCUCCAUGAAACAGGUAUAUGUAACCCCUAAAGGUCCGUGUUCUCCCCAGGUCUCGGCUUCACCAGCCUCAGUCCAUCUCAUUUUGCAGUGCUUUCGGCUUUCCUGAGUUCUUCAGGUGCCACCUGGCAGCGGGUUUUCACCUCUCAGAUGAUGUCCACCAUGCUUUCCUUAAUGUAGCCUCCACAGGCAUGAGGGCUGUGGGGAAGGUGAGCAGCUUGAGACUUAUCUACAUCAUGGAAGGGUCCAAUGAGAUCUCAGCAUCAGAGCACCAGGGGAAACGUCACUGUGAGCUGACCCGUUUGGUUAGAGCACAUAAUGAAAGCCUAGCCAGGUAGGGGUGACAGCCAACCACCACAACGUGGGUGAAGCUGAACACAGAAAGCAUAUGCCUCCCUCUCCGUCCAGCCCCUGGGGUCUCCCCAGGGCCAAUUACUGGUUUGCACUUGGCCCUGGGGUCUCCCCAGGGCCAAUUACUGGUUUGCACUUGAUUACAGGGUUCAGUGACGGUACAAAAGGACAGUCUGUGGAAAGAGACCCAACUGUGCAGCUGACACAAAAAAACAGGCUGCUUGGCCCAAGGCUGACCAGUCAAUCGCCUUGUCUGGGAGCAAGAGAACAAACGAUUCUUCCAAAGACACCAGAGAAAAGGAGCCUGGUGUCUAGAUUCUUUUCUCCCCCAUGGGGGGAGAGGGAGGCGAGAGGUGGGUUGGGUUUUGCUUGUUUUGUUUCAAACCAAGAAAGGUAAGUAGAAUCCAUCAGAGAGAGGAGGAAAUAUGCAGAGAGGCAGUGGUCUAGACUCAGAAGACAAAGCACCAGUACUGAGCACAGCACUAGCAGAAUGGGUGGGCUCGGCCACUUACUGGCUGUAUAAUUUUGGACAAGUUAUUUUUGUCUAAGCCUCCAUUUCCUCAUCUGUAAAAGGAGAAAAUUUCUAGAUUCCCACAUUUGCGGUGGAGCUCAAAUCCCAUCCCUAAGAAAGGGCUUCUAUUAACUAAAAACAGUAGAUGAAAUGUUAUUUUUUCUAUGUGGUUACAAACUCACUAAUUAGGAGCCACAAUGUUUGCCACAAACAAGCCGGGUGGUUGGGAUGCUCGGCUUCAAUUCCUUGUCUGUGCAGUGCGAAGAACCACUGAUGCUCCUUCUCAUGCCUGGCCGGCAGACAGGAGCUGACACGGUGCCCAGGAGCGGGCUUUGCUAAGCGCUGUCUUCUACAAGGCCAGGUACUCGGUCUCCCUCACACACAGAUCACUGCUCUAGACCUCGCACGACCUGGGUUCAAAAGAAGGUCCUUUCCUCGGUUUCCCUCCAGGAUGAUGGCUGGUGGCUCAGGGGGAAAAGCCAGUUGCCAAGGAUAACGACGACCUGCGGUGAGGGAUUCCAAGGCGGUUCCCACAGGCACCUGCCCCUCAGCAGACACCCAGCUGCCAUUCAUUGGCAAAGGGGCAGGUGAAGUGGUUUGCAGCAGCAGGGGUCAAAACCAUUCAGCAGAGCGACUCACACCAGUAAUUCAGAGACCUGCAGCCAUCCAAGCGGACUCCUCAAGCACAGCCAGCCUCAGGGCAGGCCUCCUAACCCUGGGCUGGCCACCUUCCCGGAAGGCCCAUCUGGGGAAAGUCCUGGCAAUCAGAGCAGGCAGCUGCCCCCUCCCCCGCAUCUCUGCUUAGCACCACCCCAAACCUGGGCUGCUGCCCUUCCAUGCCCCUCUUCCUUUUACCCAGACAGACAAAGCCUCAGCAGCCUUCCUUGGGUCUGGCUCAAAUCUACGACACCCCCAUCACCAACCUCAGGCCAGAGCGUGUACUCAGAAAGCAUUAGCUAAAUGAAAACACCUCCAUUUCCCACUGAUACUCAAACAGAAAAACAAGCUCCAAAUACAAAAGCUUCCUCUGUUCAUACAGCCACACCUUAGUCCUCCAGUCUAUCUUGUUAGUUUGUUAAACAAUCUUUUUCAAUUGGUCUGAAAGAAAACAGCCCUAUUUUAGGCCCGGAUAUCUGCUCUAAAACGACCUCAAGACAGAGCCCAGACGGCAGCUCAGGCAUUUAGGACGGGUGUCUAAGCCUGUGACCUCAGAAGACCAUGUAAGGCCCCUGGCUGGGGGCGCUCAGGCUGUCACUCGGCCUCGCCCCUGCCCCUGCCGGCAUACCUCCUUCCUGCAUGCGGCCCGGGUGCCCCUAACCUUCAUCCCCAGACUUGUCCACAGCAUGGGGUAGUAGAAAGGGGCUUUGGCACCGAACAGAGCUGGGCUUCGUUCUUGACUCUAGCAUUUAACUCUAAGCCUCACUUUUCAUCUGUAAAAUAAGUGAUACCACCUCCAGAGGUUGGGUGAAAAUUAAGAAGAAUGUCCAAGUGCUUGGGACACACAAGAUACCAGUUUUGGCAUCUUCCCUCUUUCCUUUCUUCCACUCCUGCUUCUUCAAUCUGCUGCACACAGCCCAGAGUGACCUAAACUGAAGGCUACUGUUAAUUACCUGGGACGUUUAGCUGACAUUUUAAUGGAGAGACCGUUCAUCCAAACCAUACAAAAGGAUCAGGGGAGGAGAAGCUGAAAGCAGAGAGACUGGGCAGUGCUAGGAGAACUUCCUCACAGCAGCCAGGCUAAUCCUGUUACCUCCUCAGCCCGUCAGCAGCACAAGAGAAGAUUCAGCCCACACAGCUGAGCGAGGAUAUGCUGAUCAGACUUGCUUAGGCUGCCUGGGCAGGUGGUGGCAAUCUCCCCACUACCCACCAGCAGGCGGCACAGUUUGCAGAAACGGAGAAGUUCUGCCAAGAAAGACCAAGAGCCUCCUUAGAAAGACCAAGUAAUUAAGAUACUGACAGCUGAUUGGUCAAGGAAAAAAGGCCCGCCCUCAACCUUGGCUCAAUGAGGCAAUGAUUUCACCCAACAGCCACAGCUGAGGGAUGGAGUAACUUCUGCCAGGUCACCAGUUAUACAAAUAACUCGUAGGUUUAAGAAAAGCCUCUUGACUAUGACGCAAAUCUAUCUUACUUGCCUUUCAAGGUUAACACUCAGUCCUUGUCCACGCACUUUUUAUAACCUUAGAGCAACACAGAACUCCAUCUGUCUUCUCCACUUAGCUCAUCUACCGACAGACAGGGACGGUACCUCUCACCUUUCUUCAGAGGCUCCUGAUGUCUGACACAUGCUAGCAGAGAUGGACAGGAAGAUGUAUAUCCUUUAUUCAAUCCAAUAGCGUAGAUUUCACCAUCUACCCACUUUUCCUUUUGCUGAAGAGCAACUUACCAACUGUGUCUAGACAGACAGAUAAAUGGAUAGAUGGACAGAGAGACAGACUGAUAGAAAGGAGGCCUCAUGUGGUGAUGAAUGCAAAUUUAAGUGUUGAAGCAACCUUGGAAGAGAGAAGCUGCUAGAAUGCUCCUCAGAGAAGCGUCUGAGUUUGCAGACCUCUAAGCAUGCCACCCAGUCUCCUCUUUCUUUUCUGUGGUUUCUAAUAACUUGCUUUCUACCUGCCAGACACAGGUGAGCUCUGAGUGUUAGAUUCCAGGGCUAGCUGUAGUCAAACACACACUUUUUUCUUAGUGCCCUGGUAGGAAACUUGGAAUCAGCAUACUCUAAGCUCAGCCGUUUCAAAGUUUGAAGCACACUCAAAUCCCAAAGCAAGUGUAUGUUAUGAACCCCUGGCAGCAGACUGGCCAAUGGCGUCACCACCACAGCAGAAAGGCAGGCAUUUUCUCUCAGCAUGGCCCUGCAGUGACUCCAUACCAAGUGUUUGUGUUUCCUGUCUAACCCCCAGAUGCUAGGUCAGGCCUCUCCCAAAGCCUGGGAGCACCCCAAACCUGUCAGCACUAAGGGACCACUGCAGCUGCCCAACGAGCAAGCCACACACCUGCUUCUCAGCUACCUGCCAGCACAGCCCUGCCGCCCUCACGUGCUCGCUCUUGGUCACCUCAGUGGCUAUGGUAAGAACAGUGAACAGGUCCUAAGCACAAAGCACUUCAGUGUAUUAGCUCAUCUAAUUCCCAAGCCCCACGGGAAUUUGCUGGAGGGAGAGAAAUUCUUUGGCCCAGAUUCCCACAUGGUUUCUAUUCCCUAUUUCUAGCUGUGCUGGAAAGCUUACAUAACCUAAUUUGCAUUAUGGUGCUAUUUUUAAAAAUCUCCAAAGAUCACUGCUUCGAGCAUCAAUGGAAGCUGUUAGCUCCUACCUAAAAUGAUAAUGUGGGAAAGGAUAUCUAUUCUUACAACUAACUCAACUUGAAUUCUUGACUUAAAACUGUCUUUCUGGAAGAUGCUAUUAGGAAAGGAAGGGACUCAUAUAAGAAGCACUAGCUCUAUGCUCUGUAAAUAACUGCUAGCAAGAAACACAUCAAUAUUGAAACUCACCUCAGCAGGAUAGUUUCUUGGCAGACACUUGCAGGCCUCCUGGUAACACUGAGAAAUCUAUGGUCACUUGGUAACAUGGCAUCAGAUCAUUUAUAUAAUACGAGUUUGGAAAAAACACCGCCCUUCUUGUUCUGAUGACUUCAGACAGACCCCCACCCCCACCCCCACCCCCACCAAGGAGGCAAGGGCUUCAGCUCAAUAGGAAGACCGUUCACAGAGCAGGUUGUUUCAGCUUUAACUGUUCCUAAUGUCCCCAGUCUUUCUGGCUCUAGAUUGCUAGGGAACCUCCUUAGUUCAUUCCCCUAACUCACUGUGGAAAAUUUACCUCCACUGCAGUUAUUAACGAGAGCUAAGAAACAGGGAAGUUACAAUGGAUGACUGAUUAUAAGGAAAAAUUCCUCUUAUUUGUCAUAAAAAAAAACUGUGGUCAAUAUUUAAAUGAUCCGGUUUGUUCUUUGCUAUACUAUAAAAACUGAUGUAAAAGGACUCGGGUAUGUGUUAUUCAUUUCAUUCAGUUCACUUACUUGGAGAGCUGUCCAUGAACAUAAACCAGAGUUGGUUUCGGGCUGUCGAAACUGCCAGGGACAUAUUUAAAAUGAGUGAAUUUCCAAAUGAUGCCCAUUUCAGUUGAUGUCAGAGGGCCAUAUUAUUAAAUAAUUUAUAAAUAAACUUAAAUAAUUCUCUUUUGACACUGCUAAUGCAUUAUUUGCCUCCCAAACCAGGAUAUUUAUGAUAGGCCUGAUUCCACCAACGAGGAGAGUCUGACUUAAAGUGCUUCCACUGGGCACAGCCUGUUUUGCUAAUGCCCAGAGGAGGACCUGCAACGUAACGGGCACUCGGCUGUUUCAUCAGGGCUGGAAUGUGCUUGGGACUAGUCAGCUAGACCUCAUACAACCUUUUGUGGAUGCCAAAGCCACAUUCGACAUACAUACAGAUUCUGUAUGGGAAAGAAAGUUGUUCCAGCAACCUUCAAAGUUAGUAAUAAAAAGAAAACUGCUACUUAGAGACAAAUAUAAAACAUAAAAUUCAUUUUAAUCUCUAUAUAUAAAACACAGCCUUAGCACAGAACAUCUAACACAUAUGAAAUGCAUUUAUGGGACACACUAAACGAAGGAAAUCCUUAUUAAAAUAUUUGGCCUAACCCUCACAUCUUUUAAAUGAACUCCAUGAUGGUUAAGUAAGGUGGGAAAUAAAGUCAUCUAGCUACCUAACCUAGAAAAGACAGGUGAAUUGCCUUAAGUCUAUUUGGUCUCUGCAGACUGGGUCUCUACCAUUCUGAGUGUGGCCAAAGUUGGUUCUGCAAAUAGUUAGCUUAACUCAGUCAAUUAUAUAUUUUUCCAUAGUUACCUUAAUAUUUUGGUUUUUUUUGUUUUCUAUUGCUUUUUUUUUUUUAUGGCUUCUUGCUGCUGUUGUAUUAGGGCAUACAACACAGAUCAGAGAUUUUCAUUUCUCAGAGAAGCUUCUCUCCUUGAGAAAUUGGCACUUCGAUCCCCAGCUUGUAUAACAGCUACAUGUAAAUGGGUCCCGUCCCACCAGCACUGCUGCCAAUCUUACUGCUCAUGAAAUUCCAGCACUUUGGCCAAAAGAGUGCCUUGACAUUAAACCUUCUUAGGUGAACUCUUUCCACCACUGGAUUCUUUUAUUUAAACGGGUACGUGUGUGGGGUUCACAUAUAUGUUCUAUCACAAGUUUCUACACACAUACACACACUUAACUCAGCAAAAGUGAAGUCUCUCUCAAAUAGAAAGUAAUCACAAGGAUAUUAAAACAAAUGCUGAAAAUAAUUAUUUUACAUUUAGAUCACAAAAAUUUUUAAGGUAAAGUGAUGACAUAAGACCUAAGAGAUCAAAUACAUCAUAUAUGAUUGUCAUAUAUGCAUGUUGUGUUCAUUGAUUUUUAAUUACUUUUCUCUUUAAUCAGAAAAUAAAAGAGCUUACCUUUGAAUACUGAGACCACAGCUUACAGCCACUAUAUCUCAGCCUAUUUUAUACAAGUGAUAUGGCUACGAAGGUCCGAGGAGAACGAGAAUAAAGUGAGAUAAACGUGCUGAAAACUGCUUAAAAGUAUUAACCUGAAAUACACAGAGGGUCCAACACCAGUUUUAAAAAUACAUUAACGAGGUUAACAAUUUGAGAGGCUCCAAAGGACUCCAGGGCCCCUCACCUCCCGGCACCACGCUCUGCAUCUAGUCAGCAUGAGGUCAGCAAAACGAAUCAAUGAAACAUGAAAACUCCCAGCUGAAAUGGGCCCUCUUGUUUAUGUCUAGCCACUAAUGCACAGGAUGAGAAUGGUAAGUUCACAGCUAUUUCUAGCAAGUGAUGAGGUUUUAUUAAAGUAUCACCCACCACUAAUAAAGACAAAAAGUCAAGGAGCAGAAGUAACCAACAAACCAUUGUGUAAUAAGUAUACAUUUGAGAAGUGACGCUAACAUUUGUUUUAAAUUGCCCAUUUCACUUUUGUUUAGUGGUCCCAAAGAAAUCUGAUACAUAAAUUUGCCGUACUGUGUGUAGCCCAUUCUCACUGAUGGGCAGUGUUCAGCUCCGAAAAACAGAAUUCAAAAGGGAAGAGGAAACCUAAUUCAUACUAAAAAGGGGCAUUUUUAAGACACGGCAACUUGUAAAUACCGACAUGGGACCACACACUGUUGCCUUCAUGGGGGUGAGUACCUUAAUGAAACCAUUACCUUCUAGUAACAUCAUAGGCUUUCCAAACAAGGUGAGAAUGCACGUGGAGGACUCAGGUCUGCACCCUUUCCAGAACAGCACCAUGUUACCGACCGGUUGUUUUCACCAGCUUAACCGGUGUCUUAGGGAUAACUGCUGACCCAUGGCUGAAACCUGUCGCUUUUCACAGCAGCACUCCACAAGAACUGGGACAAUCGAAGAGCAAGUUUCAUGGGGACCCUGUUGCUGCUUUCGAUUCUGAUGUGAUUGAAGAGGAAAAGAGGACCCUUCAGUGAAUCCCGGAAACACUGCUAACCUUCUAUCUUGUGAAAAAGCCAGGGAGUGAACACAGUACCUUACAGAGUGAAGAAGGCCACAAGAACAGGAGAGGGUGAUUGAUCGAUUAAUUUAUUAUUUUGUAAAACUUGGAAAUUCGGAAACUAGAAUAAUCACAUUCCUCCUUUCCCAUCUGGGGUAGUGCCAUCAUUUGAAUAAGCAAUGCUCUGGUGACAGACUAGACCUUGGUCAUGGGGCGGCCCUUGCACAGCAGGAGCACAAAGGGCUUACAGAAUAAGCAGACUGCUCCGCCUAACGACCACCUUUGUUUUAGCAGUUUGCUUACAAAUGAAUGGGGUUUCUAGGGCUAAGUUAUUAUUAGUUUUCAAUUCCUUGUAAUUUGAUACCAAAACAUAUCAAAAAUAAUAAGCUAAAACAAUAUUCAAACCCAUAUUUUAUUGGCUUUAAUUACACACUGCAAUAUUUACAAAGUUAAAGUUUAAAUGAAAAGUGUCUAUUGUAUUAAAAAAAAUAACUACAGCCCGAAUUAAAGUGCCCUGGGGCAAAUACAUGUCAAUCAGCUAAGAAUCAGUGACUGCGUCAGGAACCAGGCAGUACUCUGUGUUACAACAAAGCAGUUUAUUUGUGAUCAGUGUUUGAGACUCUAUACAUCCUUCACAAAUUUAAUUUUACAUAAUCUGAUACUCUUAAACUUUGAACUGCUAGACUUAUUUCCCUACAGCAGAAGGGCUGGUAUAAGUUAUUUUCCGGAAAUGAGGUACCGUUUCACAGAACUAGUUUCUUUUUUUUGUUUUGUUUUCAAGUUUUAGAGAACUAAAUUUGCAUUUGUUAAAAUCAAAAA